GCGCGAGUAGCUCAGCUGGAUAGAGCGUCGCCCUCCGGAGGCGAAGGUCAUGGGUUCGAAUCCCCUCUCGCGUA
rnacentral:tRNA from 2 species